rnacentral:rRNA from 1 species
AGGUUCAGGCAGGCAGAUACUUUUUCUGGCCACCGAAAACAUUACCUGGGGUUAUUGGAAUAGGACCCUGUCCUCCUAUUUUCAUUUGGUUUUGUUACCGCGAGGUCUAAGGUAGGGAUUGAUAAGGAUGGUUGGGGGGGUUAAUUUUUAAUUGUCUGACGUAAAAUUCUUGGAUUUAUUAAAGAAUAAUUUCCGUCAAAGCAUCCGCCUGGGAAGGUUUUUUUAAUUAAUAACGAAAGUUAGGGGAGCGAACAAAAACAAAUACCGUCCUACUCAUAACCAUAAACAAUGCCUACCAACCAUUAAGAAACAUUCAAUACAAAACACCCCCCUCUGCCCGUUCGUUCUUGGGUUGUUCGUGUUUGAAUGACUCCCCGCGAGGGCGGAUAAAACCGGUGGCACCGGUGAAUGACUCCCCUACCAGCUUGUGAGAAAAA